rnacentral:lncRNA from 1 species
UUUUUUUUUUUUUUAUGAUUGGAAGGUAGUAAUCUUGAACUCCAAAACAAAGCAGCACUUCAUUUUACAAGAAGACGUUGAAUAAAUGUUAAUUAUCAAAAUUAUUCCACGUGUUGAUUUUAGAUUGGUGGUGCACAAACUAGGGACAGUCGAUUUUUAUCCUUCUAAAACCCAAAUGAAACGACAAAACCAUAUUACUAAAUGUUGACUUUGCCCGUAAAUUACAUAAUUCAAUUAAAAGAAAUUUUCAAAAUUUAAUUUAAUAUUAAAUUUUUUUUUUGUCUCAAAAAAAUAUUAAUAUUAAAUUUUAUAUCACGAAUCUAGUCUAGUGACUCAAUUCAUUAGUUUAACAUUAUUAUUAAUUUUAAAAUGUAUCUGACUUUUUUUGCAUAAAUAAUUUUGUAUUUAUUAUAUAUUGAAAAAUAUUUUCCACCGUAAAUCUAUUCUCCUAUAAUUAAUUUGAAUGCCCUGAAACAUGCCUGCCCAUUUGCUUUUUUUUUUUUAAAGAAUAGUUCACAAAUUUAAGUUUUAAUUUUUUUUUAUUUUUACAAUUUCAUUAUUUUAAUUUAAAUAAUUAAUAUUUUGAUUAUACUGAUUAAAGUAUUGAUAUUGGAUAGGUGAUUUUAAGAAAAAAUAGAUGCCAACGUUUGCAAUGUCAAUUUUAUAUUAUAUAGUUGAUUUUUUUUAAUGUCAAAAUGUUACUGUAAUAAAUUUAACAGAAAAAUUUUAAUGGUGAUGAUAAUUAGAUUUAAAUUUUUAAAUUUGAAAAAUAAAAAAAAUAAAAUCCUAAAAUAAAAACAGAAAUUAUAUUUCAAAUAUAAAGUUUUGAAACAUAUUUUGACAUUCAAAUAUUUGUUUUUAAAAUUGGCCCAAAAUACAUUAGAAACCAUUUUAUUUAAAAUUAAUUUGGAUGCUUAUAAAAAUAAAAAUACUUUAAAUAGAAUAAUAAAAAUUAAAAAAUUAUAUAUAAUAUUUAAUGUAUUGAUAAUAUAUAAGUCUCAUACACCAUUAAUGAAUAAUAACAUGAUACAUUAUCAUUAAAUUAAAUAAAAAAUAUAACCAACUUAUAAAUAAAUAUUAAUAAUUUUAUUUAAAUAUAAUCAAAUAUUAUAAAUAAAUAUAAAUAAUUCUAAAAUUUAAAAUCUUUUAAGUUUAAAGGUUUAGAUUCUUAAAUCUCGAGCAUAAGAUUUAAAAUUUUAAAUAUAAAAAAUAAAAUUUUAAUAUUGACUUAUAAUUAAUUAUUAUUUAAUUAUGUUUAAAUAAAAAUAUUAAUAUUUAUUUAUAUAUCAUCCACUAUUUUUUAAUUUUAUUUAAUAAUUAAAUCUCGCAUUAUUAUUUAUGAAAUAUUCUCCCUUUUAUUUAUCAAUUCAAUUAAAUGAAACCAAUUUGAGUUAAGAAGAGUAUAGGUAAGCAAAAGGCAGCCUCCGACCAAGAAGGAAGCAGCAAGCAAGGGCAGAGUUUGGGCUCAAUUCAUUGCAAAAUAAAAAAAAUGGAAGAAGCAGAUGAGAUGGUUACGCCAGGAGAGGUAUUAGGAAAAGCCACUGAUCUGAAAGCAGGGAAAGGAGCGUAUGCCGCCUCUCACAACAACACCAUCUACGCUUCCCUUACCGGCUUCCGCCGCAUCCAGGCCCCUCCUCCCGCUUCCAAUGACAAGGUUUUGGGUCUUUUUUUAUUUUUCUUGUUAUUUUUAUGUUCAUCCAUUAAUAAAAAUUCUGGGUUUUAGAUUUAUUAGAGGGUUUUAGCUUAAAUAAAUAUGACCCAUUAUUGUUUUUCCUCGUCUGGUCAUAUGUUGUUUCUCAAAGUAAUUUGUGGGGUUUUAGUUUAGACUACUUUGAACAAUUUUUGCCCACUUUUAAUUACGAUAUUCUUACAAAUAAUGUCGAAGGUUUUAGCUUUAUUAUUUAGGUUUGAUGAAUUAUUCUCUCUUCCCCCCGCCCCCAACCCCACAUUUGGAUGGAAUAUAUUCUUAUAAGUUUAGGUAGGUAUAAUUCAUACUUUUAGACUUUUAAUUGAAUCAGUGCUUUGAGAAUCAAAAUUAAUGUUAUAGAAUGUGUUACUAUUCUGGACAUUUGUACUGAUAAUAAUUUUAUCGUACUCAUUUACAGAGACCAACUGUGGAAGUAACUGGUCACAAAGCCCAUGGUCCUGUUCCAGAACCUGGUUCGGUUGUCAUUGCCCGAGUAAGUUCUAGAUUCAUGUUGUCAAAGAAGCAUUUUGACAUAAAAUCACACUUAAGUUUUUGGUUGAAUGUAUGAUGUUGAUUGCUUGUGCUUCUUUAUAUGUUGCAAGCAUUUAUUUACUUUGUGAUAUCAAAAUGUUUUUUUUAUUUGAAUAAUAGGUUACAAAGGUGAUGGCUAGGACAGCAUCAGCUGAUAUUAUGUGUGUUGGUCCGAAAUCUGUGAGAGAAAAAUUCACUGGUAUAAUUAGGUACAUGAUCUUCUUUUCUCUUUUAUUAGGACUAAGCUCGGAGUUCUCUUCUUUGAAAAUAAUGUAAUUGUUUAACAUUCAGAUAUCGAUUUCAGUCACAAUUACCCGGGAACCGGUUUGCCGAUAAUGAUUGUUAAAUGUUAAAUAUAUCCUUGUUGAACUUGUUACCUGCAAACUUUAUAUAUACCUUCUCCCCUCUUGUUGAAUUUGUUACCUGCAAACUUUAUAUAUACCUUCUCCCCUCUUGUUCUAACAUGAAAGAACUGUUUUCUUUCCUUUAGAAUCACAUGGUUUACUUUGGUUCUAUGAUCCAAAGGCUGUAUACCCAUUUGUUUUUGGGAAAUUCGUUUUCUUUCCUUUAGAAUCACAUGGUUUACUUUGGUUCUAUGAUCCAAAGGCUGUAUACCCAUUUGUUUUUGGGAAAUUCGUUUUUCCUUGUAGCCCAUGAUUCAUUUAAUAAAAAUUAUGUUAGGCAGCUAACGGUUCCAUGCAACCAGGUAUUCAAACCUUAAAUUGAUUGAUGAAAUUCUCCUUGUUUAGCAUAUCCUCGCCGCAUCUGUCUUUUUCUCGAUAUGGAUAUAUUGUCCCAUUGAUAGUGUGUACUGUCUAUUAUAAGUUUAAAAAAUGCCAUUUUCCCAUCACUUUUGAGUUGUAUAGAGUCCAUGAGAUAUUCUAAUGUUUGAUAAAUUUAUAUACUUCUGGCUAGAUGUUGCAAAAGGUAUGUAUUCAUUGAAAGACUGUUUAUUUUAACAGGCAACAGGAUGUUAGAGCUACUGAAAUUGACAAAGUGGAUAUGCAUUUGUCAUUUCGUCCAUUCUAAUGUUUGAUAAAUUUAUGUACUUCUGGCUAGAUGUUGCAAAAGGUAUGUAUUCAUUGAAAGACUGUUUAUUUUAACAGGCAACAGGAUGUUAGAGCUACUGAAAUUGACAAAGUGGAUAUGCAUUUGUCAUUUCGUCCUGGCGAUAUUGUCAGAGCAGUAGUGGUAUCCUUCAUGUUAUAGGAUGUCUUAUUCAUGAAUCGUAACAUUUCAUCCAGUCAGUUGUUAUUUUAGUGAAAUGUAUUGCAAUGUAUUUCGUUUUGUUUAUGCAAAUGGUUUUCCUUAACAUUGCUCCUUUAUUAAGCUGUCUCUUGGAGAUGCACGGGCUUAUUACCUAUCCACGGCUAAGAACGAAUUGGGCGUCGUGUCUGCUGAAAGCUCAGCUGGUAAGAUUGCUCUUCCUUUUCUUUUCUUUUUAACUUUGGCCCGAACCGUAGAUGUUUCUUAUUAGUCCUAUUGGCUUCCUACUGUAUGCAUCCACUAUUGUGUUCAAUGACUACUCGACUUCUGUUUCCAUUGUAUACUAUAGGUGCAACAAUGGUUCCGAUAAGUUGGACUGAGAUGCAGUGCCCAUUGACUGGCCAAAUCGAGCUAAGGAAGGUGGCGAAGGUCGUUAACUAACCCAACUGAUGUCAAGCUAAGCUAGUAGCAGCCUCAAAUGUACUCAAUUUCAAGUUUUGGCUAUUUGUGAAACAUGGUUUUAGGCAAUUUUGUAUCACAAAGCCCUUCCCUCCCUUAUAUGUACCUAUAUUUUUAGGUUUUAACUUUCUUGUUCCGUUUUGUUGAACUAUAUAUUGCUGGAGAAUUUGAAACAUGUUUUCUUUGUGUUUGACUUAUUGAAUGAUAUUCCUUUUAUUUUUCAGAAAGGAAAAUUCCUUUGGUUUUUACUUGUAAUAUGGUAUGGCUACAUAAAUUUCAUGUUGAACCAAAAAGAAAAUUUUCAUGGUGUGCAUAAUGUUAGUAUCCGAAAAUAGGAGUGAGUAAAACUCGAUUCAACUAAAAAAAAUAGAAAAAAAAUUAAAUUUCUAGUUAAACGAAUCGAGUUAUUCGAGUCAAUUCGAAUUCUUUUUCGAAUUUUGAGAUCGAAUUGAGUUUAGUUUUCAAAUUCGAAUAACUCGAAUAAACUAAAUAUCAAACUAUAAUAAUUUAUAUUAUUACCCCAAACUCUUAAAGCUCUUCACUUUCCUCUAAAAAUUUGUACUUCUUCACACUUUUGCUCUCCUCCCAUCCUAUCCCCUUCUACCCUAAACCCAUCCCCCCAUUUUUUUUUAAAUAUUUCCCUUCCAAAAUUUUAGUCCUUCAACCUCUAAAAUUUUUUUAUUUUUCCCCUAAACUUUUAUUUCUCACCUUUUACCCCUAAAUAAAAAAUUAAAAUCAUCAAGAAAAAAAAGUCCUAAACCUAAAUAAUAAUAAUUUUAUUUAUAUUUACUAUUUAUAUUGUUAAAUUAAAUUUCACAUUUUGUAUUAUUUAUAUUAUUGAAUUGUUUUAUCAUAUUGAAUCUUUAUAAUUUUUUUCUAAAAUUGAAUUAUUAGUGAUACCAUAAAAUAUUUGUGUUAAAAUUUUAUAUUGGUAUCAAUUUUAUAUUUUAUCUUUAAGAUAAUUUUAUUAAAAAAUCCUAUUUUUUACAAUUAAUAUAUUUUUAAAUUUCAAAAUACAUAGUGACAAAAAUAAUUAAAUAAUUAAAGCAAUUAAGCAAGUAAAGAAGUAUAAAGAAGUAUUUUCUAAUAUAUUUUUUAAUUUGAUUAUGGUGGACAAAUUUAAUUACAGUGGGUGACAGUGAUUACAAGCACUCAAAAUAUUUUUUUUAAUUUAACUCGAACAAAUAUAUUCUAUUUAUUUCAAUUCGAAUUUUAUUUCACUCGACUCGAUUUAAGAAAAUUUCAAAUUGAGUUAGGAUGAUAAAAUAUGAUUCGUCAACUCGAUUAACUCAAAAUAUUUUUAUUCGAUUCAAUCAAAUGCUCACCUGUAUUCAAGAAUGGAUCGUAAAACGGAAAUGAAAUAGUAGUAAAGGAGAUAAAAAUAGAUCUUAAGUAUAAAAAAGAUUUAUUUCAUAUACAAAUGAGUUAAAAGAUUAUCCAAAAGAUGAAAAAAAUCAAAUGUGGGACUGCAAUCAUAAUAAAACCCCAACCCAUAUCGAUAAGAAAACUAAUUUAUUUUUAAAAGAAAGGUAUAAAAAUUAAGUGGAAGAAGCUAACUUCCAAAACGAUCGAAAAAUCCCAACAGCUUCUGGCUUUGAACAACUCAAAAACUUUGAAACAUGUCUUCUUGUUCAUCAUCUUCUUUUUCUUUGCUUAAACCUCUAACCUUUCCUUCAACUCCAUGCCCCUCUCCUGCCCUUCUAUUUCACAACAAUCCCAUCUACAUCCCCUUCAAAACCACUGCCAACCACUCCAAAACUCUCCACCUCUCAAAGCGUCUAACCAUUCCAUUUGCUCUCACUGAAUCCGACUCUCCCAAGUCUCUUCAACCCGACCUUCAAACCCUUCUCCAACAACUUGCUGUAUGUGCUAAAUUCAUUGCCUUUUUUUUUAUCGAAUUUUGUUCUUUGCAUUUGUUUUCGUAAUGCCAUUUUGGAUGGUUACAGGAUAGCUUUGAUCUUCCAUCGGAUUACUUUUCCCAGUUGCCGAACGAUCUUCGUUUAGACGUAAGAUGAAUUUUGAUGACCCUUUUGGAUAUAAUUAACAAUGUUUCUUUUUGGUGGGGGGUUAUGGGUUUUUUAAAGCAGGUAAAAAAAUUGAUGGUGUUUGUGGGUGUUGUAAAUGUGUGUUUGUGGGUGUUGUAAAUGUGUGUUUUAGUUGAAUGAUGCUGCUUUUGAUCUUUCAAAUGGACCUGUGAUUGAUGAGGUUAGUUAUCUUUACUCUUUGUUUUGGUUGCUUAAUUUCUUCAAUUAAAAUUUCAGUCUUCAAAAUUCUUUUGAGAUUAUUUGAAAAAGGAUGAAUUGCAGGAUUAUAUAGAAAGAUUAAACCAUAUAUGCUUUGCUAGAAAGGAUUCUGGAAUAUGGUUUUGAGAAAUGGUGUUGUUUCCUUAUUGAGAGUCUCAUUGUUAAUGACUCCAAUUGUGUAUCAUAUACAUAGGAUGCAAACAAUGGCUUCUUAUCUAGUUAUCUUCUUGUUAAUGAUCUUGUCCCACGUCGAUUAAUUCUUAGAUUUCCCAAGGUCAUGUAUUCGAGUUCUGUGUGUUAUGUUCUUCCUGUCUGAAUUCAUGUGAGGUUGUUAGCGUAUAGGCCAUCAUCGCUCUUGUUAAUUUACACGAGAGAAAUGUUAUAUCACAUCUAUUAUGUCCUGGGUUGCCUGUGAUCUUGUAUUCAGACUGUGCCUAUGUGAUCUUGUAUUCAGACUGUGCCUAUCUACCUUUUUUGCCAAUUGGUUUUAAAUUGUAGACUAAAACACGGUUUUAGGUUGAAUGCUUAACACUGAUGUGUCAUUUCUAGUUCAUGACAUCCCUCAUUGGUAGAUAUCCACCAUUACUAAGUCUAAGUUCACAUAAUUUGAUGCCUGAACCAAUUUGGGGAACAAUCCUUAUUCUCUAUCUUGCUUUCAGGAAUUGUACAAAAUGUUCAAUCAACGAUAGGAAUUUUUUUUAGUGGCUUGUACAAGUUUCGAUAUCGACUAUACAGUGUUGUUGAUAACCUUUUUGUUACGAACCAGAAUAAAACCGGUCAUAAGGAACUUAUCUUUUUGAAUGAUCUUUUUCAGUGUGGUAUGGAGUUGGGAAAAACAUUAUUAAAUCUCUCUAGAGCUUGGGAGUCAGCUGAUACAUCAACUUCGUAUGCAUUAGCAAGCAAGGUCCCGUUGCUUGCCAACUCUUUGACUGACAGCGCAAAAUCAGGUAAGAAAAAGGCAUCUGCAAAUGACAUCAAAAUAUCAAUCUUAGAUAAAUUUAUUUCUGAAAUCUUGUUUGUUUCCAACUAUUUGCUGCUUUUAGCAUUUGGAAGGCGAUUGGUAGCUGCUGGAAGAAGGUUCCAGGCUAUGGGACAGUAUGGUCAAGGCGAACUUCAAAAGGUAUUUCGAGUAACCCGGAAAUAGAUACCUUUUGUUGUAUCGUUGUCAAUUUUAUGAGCCUAUAUUAUUCCAAUUCUUCAUUUUCCUUGAAAACUUCCAUUUCCAACGAAUGUAGAUUUGGAGGUAUGAUCCUCUAAAUGUAAGGAAAGCUUCGAAAAAUUCCAUAUUACCUGUAUCUGGUACCGAGUCUAUGGAACAUAGUCAUGCACAUUCUAACUUAUUUUCAUACAGAUUGAAGAGAUACUGAACUAUUUAUUGUAGCUCAUGAUCAAGAAACAAGGAAAUUGCACAGAGGACCUCAACCUCAACUCAGAUCACGAGUCCCAUGUCAAAAAGUUUUCUUGAGAUUUUUAACCCCAACCCUAGAAAACUCUUAUAUUGUCUUAAAAUUUGAAUAAGAUUCACAUUGAACCAUUGUAGAUAGCAAAAGCAAUGAAUGCAGCUGGAAAACUUCUGUCUGCAAGUUCAAUGUCUGCAACAACUGAAGAACAACCAAAAACGGAAACUAGAAUGUUUAAGGUAGAUGGAAUUUCUCCACUUGUUCUAGAACAUAUAUUCAGUUGAAUGCACCUAAAGUAAUUAUUGAGUAGAAGUUGUUUUCCACUUGCAGUUUGGAGAACUUCAGGUUGAGGUAACAUCGGAGAAAGCUAACAUUGGAGCUGCAAUAGGUUUCGUUUUCGGGUAAACAUCUCAUUCAUGCUGUAAUUUCUAUUAAAUAUAUCCUAAAACAAUGUUAAAUAACAGCUCUUACAAAUUGAAAAUUCCAGGAUUCUUUCAUGGCAAAUAGCUCAGGGCAUCCAAAGCAUUCCGGAGAGUUCAUUGGAAUAUGCAAAUGACAAUGCUCUGCUUCUAGCUAAGGUGCCUGAAAACUCACUCGUAACAGUUAAACUGUUGCUAUUGAUACUAAAACUUGAAACUCUAUGAUGCAGUCAUUAAGAGGAGCACUACUUGCAGUUUUCUAUUCAUCCACAAUCUUGUCCGUUUUCACCACCAUUGGACUUCUCUUACUUGGAAGACAACUAAAGUCCGAGGGAAAGUAACCUUCUUCAAGCUUUCUUGCACCAAUUUUACUUGUGAGUUGGCUAGACUUGACAAUGAGCUUCCACCAGGAAUAAUGGCAUCAAGGAUCAGGAAGGCUGCUAUUCGGCCUGUCCUUCAAAAUUACCAGAUUCCAACUUGUUGCUGAUUUCUGGUUAGUCAUCUGGGUUAUACAUUUCCACGUCAACAAAAGAGAUUUUGGCAUAUAAGCUGCCAAUGUUUCUCAAAGUUCGAUUUUAACUUGUAGAAUAACUCUCUAUUAGCCUACUUUAUUUGGAUAUUAUUUGUAAGGGUCUUUGGUUUAAUAUUGGGACUUGAGUGCAGAUGUUACCAUCUAAAGUAGAUGCAAAUCGAAAUAGUAACAAGCAGAUAAUGAAUUGAGAUAUUAGAUAAAUUGAGUUCAAAAAUUAGGAUCUUUCAAACAUUAGUAAUAUCCACCCGACUAUCAUCCCCAAGAAAGAAGAGAUUAUAAUAAGAGCAAGAUGGCAACUAAUACAUCUAAGGUAAACAAACCAUUUAAAUUAACCUUAGUCCUAUCUAUCUAAAUCAUUGUACAAUGAUCUUCCCACUUCACUGUUGCUAAAACUAUCAAUGCAUCCACCCUUUGUCUAGAAAUCUUUACAAGUUAUGUGGGCCACAGGGGGUGCUAAACAAUCAUAUCUAGUGACAAAAUUGAAAGUUACAACAGUGCCAUUCACCACCGGCUGUGAUAUCGAUGGCUACUAUACCGAGAUGAAUAAUCCAGGUAGCUGUUGUCCCAUCUUUCAUCGGUCUCAUAUUCAAAUCCAUGAGCUCUUGGAGAAUAUCUUGAACCGUAGGAGCCAUGACUACCAAAAUCUUCAUAUACCAAGGGGCUCCUUCUACCCCUCUCAUAAUACGACCUUCCCGAGGUGGGGCUUCGUGGCCUUGGAAUAGGAUCUCUUGGACUGUUAAAACCGUAUGGUGAAUCAUAAUUACCAUACCUUGGGGGAUAGGAUGAGCUAACUCUGGAGUCAACUCCGGGAGCGCCUUCAUCUUCAUAAUCACUAAAAUACCUUCGUUCCAGCCCCCUGCUGCCAGAUUCAGAAGAAUGGUUCACUCUAUGGUGCGACUGUGACCUACUCUUGAAUGAUUCAGAACUUCGACUAGGAGCCCAAAGUUUUUCAUCUGCCUCAACAGGGAUUGGUGCAUUUAUGCCUGGAAAUUCAACUGUCAUUUUCAUCCGUGGUUCAGGCUGCUGCACCAUCUCAGCAAUUUCUCCAUCUUCCUGUCCUUCAUCGACUUCGGCAUCAGCAUAUAUUGUAAUUCCAGAUGGCUCAUCCUCGUCAGGGGCUGAAAAUUUUAGAGAUGGUCAAUUUAAAGUAGCAUGAGAAAAUAAUAAGUCAAUGUUUAAGCUGCUAACGCAUAAUUUAAAUUGGCAUACAAUGGUUCAAUCUAGAUACGGUGGUUAGAGAUCAGAAGAUGCGAAUUUAAGAGCAAACUAUAAGGGGAAGCCAUUUUUAUUUGUGGCCUGGAAUUCAAUAAAAUUUGUAGACUUCGCGUCUUUUCCUCUACCAAACACUUUGCUUCCAUAUUUUAUUUUCUUGAUGCUUAAGAUGUGGGGCCCUUAGGACAUUGUCCUAAUUAUUUGCAGCAACUAGUAAAUGUUUAUUGGUCAACCCCUCAUCUUUAUCUCUAAACCAUGACACAUUAUGUAUCUCAAACUAUUUAUCACACAAGUCAACUGAAACAGUUGGGGCAAAUGGCAUGGCCCUUAAGAGAAAGCAGACUGCAAUUUCUUCCAAUCGUGAUUAUUUACCAAUAACGUUUCAAGGCAACAACUUCAAAUAUGGUUGAAAGUCUAUAGAUCAGAUGUGUUUAGUUACCUAGAUAUCCCGGUGGGUACCCAAUUUCUCGCAUUCUAUUAAGCCACGGUGGAGGGUCGAACUCCUGUGGAAGCAAAUGAAUAAGGAAUUUUAAUUCUCAAGGGAAAAGGCAGUCCCAAUUCCAUCAUUAUCUAUGGAUGAAUAUAUUAACAAAAAAGAGAAACAACUUAAACAGUUAUUACUAUCGAAUUAAACAUAAAGGCAUAACUAGAGAUAUGGCAAUAUUUCAUGUUUAGCCAGAAAGUUUUUGCUUUUCCAUCAAAGGAGAGAAUGUUUUUUGUUAGCUGUGUAGAAAUAAGCCAAUAGUCCAUGCCCAUUAUGCGCAACAAGAGAGAAUGUGUUUGUUAGUGAUGUAGAUUAAGAACAAAAGGAAAAGGCAGAAUAUGUUCAUUAGCUAAUACUUGGCACAAGUUAAUGGAGUGAACAUGCUUGGUAUUAAUGCUAAUCAUACAAUUGAGAAAAUAAAACGAAAGCAAGAGAAAAAACUUUUGGGACUUCAGCACUGGGCUCAAAAUCAAGUUGAUUUCCAAUAUAUUUGGGUCUAUCAUUAGGUACCACAAAAAGGGGGCAGGGGGAGUUGUCAUGGAAUGGAAGGAGAGUAUUACCCCAAGGCCUAAUAGUUGUCGUGUUUCAGCACCAAGAACACCAGGCUUUAGAUCAUCAUACUUUCCACCUUGAGAGUUCUGAUAAUAGCGAGUUGCAUUGCGAGAAGCAGCACUCUGAUUACGUUUGGACUUUUGGUGUUGCUUUCGAGCAUUGUUGACAGCAACAUUGUCACGAGGCUUUGGGCAUUGCUUCAGGGAAUGACUAUAAGAACCACAGUUGAAACAACGGGAAGCCUCGUCUUUUAUCUCCAGGCCUCUACAAGUUGCAACAUUAACAGGUAAGAGAACAUUGAACAUUUAAGGUGGAAGGGCAAACAUAGAAGUAGGAGAGCCACGCAGGCCACAAGCUGCACCAUGCUUAUAGUAACAUCAACCAAACUAACAGACUACUUUUUUUGGAAAAUUUAAUAUAAUUUAUUGGCAAGAAAAAGGUUUCCUUGCUACGAUUUCUAUUUUGUAUUUAAUAAUUACAACUGGUGAUCAGUAUAUUAACUGAUUAAACUGUCAACAUACCACUGCUAUAUUUAUUUGUGCAAUGGAGAUUGCUGCAUUUAGAUUGCCAUAACUGAACAAAACAAAAUUUACUAACAAAAACAAGAGGAACUUGCUAAAGCAGUUAAAGUUGACUCUGAUUUCCAAAACCCACAUCCAAUGUAUCAAUCUGACCAACCAAACAUUCACAUACUUUGGGAUAAAAAAUACAGCUGCUAAAUGAGUCAGCAUUGCACAUGCAAUAAAGCAACAAUAAGAAUGAGCAAGAGCAUAGAUAAGUCGAAACAAUGAAAUAAAUGGCAACUUGCAUGCAAUUUUUUUGGAAGAGUUUGUAUGCAUGCAUCUAUUCUAAGCACACAAUUGUUUUGGAUGCUAUUGUGAACUAUAAAAGAGCAGUCAUGAAAGUGCAAGCGCAUAAAAUAGGCCCUUGAAUCUUAUAACAAACUAGCAUGUCAUUAUCCAUUUAUAUGGCGAACAAUAUUACAAAAAACACAAAUGAUACUUACCCUUCCAAAUUACUUGAAGCAUCUGCUGAAGUCAAACCCAUUGCAAACCCACGAUCAUAAAGUGGCACAAUAUUACCAUCCAGAGGGAUGAACUCCAUAUCAUGCAGAUUCCUUCUUUGAUCGUCAAUCCAGAAUGACUACAAAUCCAAUAAAAAACAAAACUAAUAUAUUGAGAGAAUACAAUAAACUCUAGCGCAAGAAUCAGCCCUUUUAAAACAGAAAUUGCAGAUCUCAAGAAACUUUAAUGUGCAUAAAAUUUAUAAUUAUUAGGAUUGAAAUGUCAGAUCCCUUUUUCAAGAGAAAGGAAUUUGCUCAUGAUUUAGAAUUCAGAUAAUGAAGAAUUAAUUACACAAUAACAGAUUGCCAAUGACAUUAAAGAAAGGGAAGGAUAAAAGGUACAAAACUGUACCUCUAAUAACAACCAUUCCAAUAACAAAAAUCAAAAUACAUACAUCAGGCACAGAACAUGGAAGUCUAGGGGAUUAAAGACAAGCUUACCACGGCAGAGAGCUUAUCUGCACCAACACGUAGAGCAGGAAAGUAGGUCUUUUCUCCUGAUUCUGUAAGUUCAUUUUCCUGACCAGAUUGGAUUACAUUCAGUUUCAUUUAAUGUGAAGGAUAAAAAUACUGCACUAUGGAACAAUAUAAGGUGCAGAUGCAUACACAUGCUUAUGCACCCACAUGCUCAGACAUUAAUCCAUCUGCAUAUGCAUAUUCACUUAAAUGCAUACCUAUUGACACACCAUCCUUCCAUCAAAACAGACAGUCAGACAAAUAUAAAUGCACCCAUCCAUCUAUCACCACAGAUUUCAGUAGGAGACACCGAUUGAGAUAUAACAUCUCUCUGAAAGUUACAGUUAAUGAUUAAAUUCAAAAUUCAAACAAAUGAACGCACUUAGAAGUACUAGAUGGUCCAAACGAACACCACAAGUUCAUAAAAUACCUAAUUCAAUCUAAAAUGCAGGUACUGUAAAACAAUAAUUGCCAUUAUAUUCUCAAAAAAGGAAGAAUAUGAUACCCUCAAGGAAAAAAACUAAAACAUACAAUCUGGAGAUAGGGAAUUAUGAAUGAUAAAUCCAACCUAUAUCCUCAGUUCUAAAUUAGACAAAGGAUUUAAAUAUGAUGAAUGGAGAUAGAAAAUUAAAAACCAAGAAUUUAACCAGACAUACUUGCAAUGAUGAACCAUGUUCAGCUUGCCAUUCUGACCAUUUCUGCAAAAGCUCCUCAAGCUUCUGUUUACUAGCUCUGGAAAAAAGUAAGGGGGAGAUAACAAUAAGGAAUAUAACCUAAAAGAAUGUAAAAUAUAACCCAAACACACUCUAUCUUAAUUAAUCAUAUUUCUGUCUAUUAAACAGAACUUCAAGAAAAGGAAUAAAAACAUGAAACUUUUCAUUCUUUGAUUUUCAGAAUUAAUCUCCGGCCCUAACCUUGUUAAGAAAUUAUACACAAUACGAAUAGAAGGUUGCUGGUCAUCAAAUGUCAUCCGAGGUCUCUUAACAACAGCUGACACAUUGAAUUAUGGAAAACAAAAAUCAUCAUGCCAUAGGCUCUACGGAAAUAUUUACUAACAUUAUAUGGAAUUGAGCUUAUGAAACAUACAAAUACAGAAGCAAAGCUCUUAUAUGAGAGUCAGCUAAUACACAAGAAAGAAAGCAACAAUAACAACUGAGAAGCAGGAUACAAAUACCAUCCAUUGUGUGGUUCUGGAUGGGACUUCCAUUUUCGAGAUCAAGACCCCGCUUUUUGGUAGACAUUGAAGAGCCAUCCAAUUUCUCUUCAACCUUAAAUGAUUCAGAAUGAGCUCCAGAGCUAACCUCAUCCAGUUUCUUUUCAACUCUAAGAACUUCAGUUAUUUCAUCACUUAUUUCCAUGUCAGAUGAAUCGCCAGCAAGAGUGUUGUCUACCUUUGCUUCCACAAUUAAAUUGUUCUGAGGAUUUCUAAUAUCUCCUUCAUUCAGCUGCAGGAUCUCAGUUUUCACUUCACCAUCUUUAGCCUCUGCAUUAUUAGGUUGAGAAUCUACUUGAUGAAGUCCAUCAUCCACAUCCCGAAGUUCACCACUUUCACUUCCAAACAUAGAAUUACUAGACGCAGGAAGGGUGAUGAAAUCCUGACCUCCCACACUUGUAUUACUGCAUAACAUGAGCCCUUAUUAGCAAAUUACAAUGUAAUCAACACAUAACCAGCUACUAUCAUGAAUCAAAAGACGAAUUAUUUUCAGUGCUUUGGACCCAUAUAUGUAUUUAGAGUUUUGUAUUUGGAAUAGUUUUUAGUAAGGAAGAGUUCAGGUCUUCUAUUAUUUUCUUCUUAAAAUUCAUAAGCAAUCUGUUAUCAUGAAACAUUAUUUUGUCAUCAGUAAAUUCAAAAUCACGAGUGAAAUUCUUUUUCUCUUCAAAAAAGUGGUUGUUCAAUUAUUUACUCCCUUAAAUAAAACAACAAAUAAUGCAAUAAAAUUGGAUAUAAAUGAAAAAGACAACCUAUAAAGGUUAAAUAAAAUGAAGGAGUCUAGUUUUUGCACUACUAACCUUUCAUUCAUGAUCUACUAAUUUGGACUUGUAGAGGAUUGAAGGAUGCAAGUCACACUGCAAAAACAGAUAUCAAAACACCCAUAAGAACUAAAUCCCAUUCCAAUCCCCAGAAAAUAUAAAACAAGUCACAUCCAAGUUUGAUAUCAUAAACAAGGCAUAGAGCAGCAGAAGAAGCAGAAGAAAAAACAAAUAGGUAACUCAAUCAAGCACUUACAGAGAAAAUAAGUCAACUAGUGAGUCCAUAAAACCAAGAUAAUAUAACCCAAUUUUCCCAAACAUUGAGAAGCAGAUCUCCACAAAUGAAAGUAAUAAAGGUAACCAACCGUAACGAAUAUCAAAUAAUAAAGAGACAACAAGAAGAUCAAUUUAAUACCAAAUAAAGCUGAAAUCAAAUUGUUUAAGUUCCCAGAUCACUUCUCAUCCUUGCAAAAUAUAUCUCUUUCUUUAAUGCACUUCUAAAUUUAACUAAACUAAAAAAAGUUUUAAAAAAAGAAGAAGAAACUUCUUUCAUUAUUUCCUUUACAUGCAAACUAUAAAACAUGUUUUGCUUUUCUUUUCAGAUCUCAAUGGCUCAUUUAUAAGAGAAAAAAAAACGAAAAGGAAAAGGAAAAGAGAAACAAACCAGCAAUUUUAGGAAUGAGCACCUAAAAUUUUAUGGGUCAACCGAAAGUUUUCAAGAAAAUAAAAUUGAGAAAGGAGGAAGUUGAAGAGAAAUUUUUUAAAACCCUAGAAAUUUCAUAAUUAUCGAAAGAAAUUACCAAAGUUGGGUGAUGGAAUUAUAGUAACGAGGCUGUGAUUCGGGAGAAGAUGACAAAGAAAAGGAAGUGCCAGCGGGGUAAGUAGGGAAAUCCGGCGCGGCUGGUUGAGGCUGUGAAGAAGAAAAUAUGUGAAGCAAAUUGAGGUUUUUAUAAAUCCAAAGGCAUAAAAGAAGGAAGAAGAGGAAGCGAUUGGAGGCUAAAGGCCAAGCUCAAAUAUUAGGUAAAAUUACAAAAAUAGUCACGUAUCUUUGUUUAAAUUUAUGUUUUGAAAUUCCUAAAUAUUAUUAUUAUAUUUUUCCCUCUUUUAUAAAUAAAAAUAAAAAAACAUAUUAUACAUUUUUUGAUAAUAUUAUUAAAAUAAUUUAUUUUCUUUUCCAAAUCACUAAUUAUAUUUGAUAAUUAAUUAUUAGAUGUCUCCUAAUUGUCUUUUUAACUUAAUUUAAAAUGUAUAAUUUCAAUCAUUUUGUGAAUGAUAAGGAGUAUAGUGAGAUAAUAAUAUGUGGAGACAUUCGUACUAGAGAUGUGUUUUUUUAUAUAUAUAAUUAAUUAUUAAAGAUGCCUAUCAUUCAAAAUUUUUCAAAGAGUGCUCUAUCAAAGUUGACUGAGGAUGUGUCAUAGAUUUCAAACUUUUGAGCUGUAUUAAAUGGUUUCUAUUUUGGAAGGAUGAGUAGUGAGGAGGAUUUCCCUUCUCCAACAAAAAGAUUGUGAAUUUAUCUCAACAAAAGUCCCUUCUUUAGUUUGGAUCGCAUUCAAAUACGAGUCCAAAGAAUGUUAGGUUAUAUCUAUAGAUUUAUUUUUUAUAUUUUUGAGUCUAAGACAAAACAAUAAAUUGAGACUCUUUUAAAAAAAUUAUAAAAUACAAUACAAUAAAAUAAAAAAAUAUACUAGUAAUUUCAUUAAAAUAAUACAUUUUAUUACAUUAAGCGAAUAAGAUAUUUUCUAACAUAAUUUAAAAAAAAAAACAUUUUUCAUUCAAUCACAUAAAGUCAUAAAGAAAAAGUAUGCAGUAGUAUAUUACGGGGAGAAGCUGAAUAUAAAGUUGACUUAAAUGACUUUAUUAGUUAAAACCCAAAGAUAUCGUCAAAUUAAGAAUAAAAAGAUUACAAGAAAGAAGAGGAAGGAGGUAGAAUUAUAUGUACAACAAUAGUAGAUUCAGCAGACCACGAAUGGGAGUCACCAUGGACAGCAAGCAGGCGCAGCGGUUAGUUGAAUACCUGCAGCCCGCACAACCGCGCAGGAUGACAGAAGAGAGAAGGAUUAUCGCACCAAAGCCGACAACAACCAGCGAAAAAAAUAUUUUAGAAUCUCAAAGUCUCAUCUCUCAUAUAUAAAGUAAAACUAAUAACUUCAAUUGAUUAUGUUAAUGGAUGAUGUAUUACUUAAAUGAAAUUUGACCUUAUUUAACUUGUAAAAAAUUUCUUCUAUUGUCAUGGUUAUAGGAAAAUAGAGAAGGUUGAAUUCUAGUAACCAUUGAAUUUUUUGGGAAAAGUUGAAAUUCUUCAUUAAUUUUAACGUUAGGAGUUGGAAUUUGGGAACUAAAGGAGGUUUGGAGAAGUCAAGGAGUUGGACAUGAAGGCGAAGAAUUUAAGGCUCCUUUUAAUUUAUUUUCUUUUUUUUUCUUGUCUUCAAUGAAGCGUUGAUCAAAAAACUUAAAAAGUUAAAAGAUUUUUUUCCUACAUUAAAAGCUGAAAAAAAUACUCUCAAACUACUCCCAAAGUCAGGCCUAUAUAUUUGAUAAUGAUCAAAAGCAUAGUUUGGACUAUGCUUGACCUUUUACAAUAGCCGAUGAGGAAACCAAGGGCAAGUAAGAGUCUUCACCCUAACUUCAAGCUUCUAACUUCUAACUUCGUCCCUGACGAUGGCAUUAAGGGCCGAGUCAUAUUUUGCAGGGAAGGAAGGCCAUUAGUUUUUAAACGAGCAGAAGUGAAUAAUCUAUGAUACUGAGGUUAGAACUUUGUUCGUCAUACUUUGGAGUUACAAGAUAUAUUGCACCAUGCUUUCUAUUUACUUUUUACGCUUAAAUAGUUUUCAUAUUAUGUGUUGAUUAUUUUUAAUUUGUAAGAAAAUAUUUAUUAAGUGAUAUUUAUCACGAUUUUAUGCAAAAGAAUAGAAGUUUUUUUAAGAUAAAACUAGGCUAAUUAUGGAGAUACGGGAGUCAGAUUUUAUCUCUUUUCUUUUAUGAUCAUCCUUUGACUUUGAUUAAGAAAUAUUUCAAGAUAUUAUGGAGGAUUAUUCUAAAAUUUUACUAAAGUAUUAUCAAUUCUCUACAAUCAUGCUACACACCUAUAAAAGAAUAGUUUUCCAUAUACGUUGUACAGGCCCAAAUUUGCCCGGCCCAGACUCAACAAGCCCAAAUCCCUAACCUAAACCAAAACCCAAAAUAACCCAAUAAUUAGAAAACCCUAAAGGCCCAACUGACCCAAAAUUUUAAACUGAACAGAACCCUUGCCCUUGACCAGCAGCCUCCACCUUCCGCUCACCCAUUUGCCUCGAGCAUACCGCCCACGCCUGGCCCCGAGGCCUGACCACCUCUACUCGUCUUUGCGCCAACCCCGUCCUAUUACUUCCGUCUAGACCUGCAAACGAAACAAGAAAAAGUGCAGAGAGACACGCAAAGUAAAGAGAAAAACAGAAGCAACAAAUAGAAAAAGGGUAGCAAAAUAAAUAGGCAUUCGGCUAUGAAAAAAGGGGGGGAUGAUUUUAGGGGGUUUUCGAAUACAAAAAACGUUGUAUUACAGGAGAUCGGGGAAAUCAAGAGUAAAAAUAAGAAAAAGGUUGUUUUUGGAUUCUAUUCUUUUUUCUUUUUUUCUUUUCGAUCCUUUUUUAUUUAUUUAUUUUUGGUUUCAAAUCCAUUUUAAAACAAAAAUAAAAGGAAAAGGAGACUUACCUGAACGACCCUGCGAUGUCGUCGUCGGGAACUUCUCUCCUGGCGUCAAACUCGGGCUUAAAGGGAAGCCAAGGACCUUUCUUUCGGCUUUUGGGUUGAGAAGGUUCGACCUCUAGACGCGUUCCAAAUGAGGGCUAAAAUCCCCUCUUUGCGCGACCACGACCACCGCACGCGGUGGGCCACGAUGGAGGCAUAACGGCGGUGCAAAGGCUAGGGUUCAAAACCCUAGCAGAGAAAAGAGGGGAGAGUUCCAGAAUUUUUUUUUAAAAAGUGGCAGUGGGAAUGAAUUUUAGAAAAAAAAUUGAUUUUUAUAAGGGCACAAAAACGGUGCCGUUUUGCACCCAAUGCCCUAGCGUCGAAACGGCGUCGUUUAGAGCAGAUUCGCGC